rnacentral:pre_miRNA from 1 species
GGCCUAAACUUGAAGUAGGGUAGUUAAGUAAGGUUAGCCGAUCCUUCUAAUCUACUUUAAUCCGAAUUUAGGCCC